rnacentral:rRNA from 1 species
GACGAACGCUGGCGGCGUGCCUAAUACAUGCAAGUCGAGCGAAUCAAUAGGAGCUUGCUCCUGUUGAUUAGCGGCGGACGGGUGAGUAACACGUGGGCAACCUGCCUGUAAGACUGGGCUAACUUCGGGAAACCGGAGCUAAUACCGGAUAAUCCUUUUCCUCUCAUGAGGAAACGCUGAAAGUCGGUUUCGGCUGACAUUUACAGAUGGGCCCGCGGCGCAUUAGCUAGUUGGUGAGGCAACGGCUCACCAAGGCGACGAUGCGUAGCCGACCUGAGAGGGCGAUCGGCCACACUGGGACUGAGACACGGCCCAGACUCCUACGGGAGGCAGCAGUAGGGAAUCUUCCGCAAUGGACGAAAGUCUGACGGAGCAACGCCGCGUGAGCGAUGAAGGCCUUCGGGUCGUAAAGCUCUGUUGUUAGGGAAGAACAAGUAUCGGAGUAACUGCCGGUACCUUGACGGUACCUAACCAGAAAGCCACGGCUAACUACGUGCCAGCAGCCGCAGUAA